GUGGACGCCAGUCUGCAUGGAGCCGACCUUGAAAUACCACCCUUUAAUGUUUGAUGUUCUAACGUGGACCCGUAAUCCGGGUUGCGGACAGUGUCUGGUGGGUAGUUUGACUGGGGCGGUCUCCUCCUAAAGAGUAACGGAGGAGCACGAAGGUUGGCUAAUCCUGGUCGGACAUCAGGAGGUUAGUGCAAUGGCAUAAGCCAGCUUGACUGCGAGCGUGACGGCGCGAGCAGGUGCGAAAGCAGGUCAUAGUGAUCCGGUGGUUCUGAAUGGAAGGGCCAUCGCUCAACGGAUAAAAGGUACUCCGGGGAUAACAGGCUGAUACCGCCCAAGAGUUCAUAUCGACGGCGGUGUUUGGCACCUCGAUGUCGGCUCAUCACAUCCUGGGGCUGAAGUAGGUCCCAAGGGUAUGGCUGUUCGCCAUUUAAAGUGGUACGCGAGCUGGGUUUAGAACGUCGUGAGACAGUUCGGUCCCUAUCUGCCGUGGGCGCUGGAGAACUGAGGGGGGCUGCUCCUAGUACGAGAGGACCGGAGUGGACGCAUCACUGGUGUUCGGGUUGUCAUGCCAAUGGCACUGCCCGGUAGCUAAAUGCGGAAAAGAUAAGUGCUGAAAGCAUCUAAGCACGAAACUUGCCCCGAGAUGAGUUCUCCCUGAGACUUAGAGUCUCCUGAAGGAACGUUGAAGACGACGACGUUGAUAGGCCGGGUGUGUAAGCGCA
rnacentral:rRNA from 1 species